UAAAAUAUAGCUUAAGGUAAAGUGUUUUAUUUACACUAAAAUGAUCAUUUAUUAUGUAUUUUAA
rnacentral:tRNA from 1 species